UGGGGAAUAUUGGACAAUGGGCGAAAGCCUGAUCCAGCCAUGCCGCGUGUGUGAAGAAGGUCUUCGGAUUGUAAAGCACUUUAAGUUGGGAGGAAGGGCAGUAAGUUAAUACCUUGCUGUUUUGACGUUACCAACAGAAUAAGCACCGGCUAACUUCGUGCCAGCAGCCGCGGUAAUACGAAGGGUGCAAGCGUUAAUCGGAAUUACUGGGCGUAAAGCGCGCGUAGGUGGUUCAGCAAGUUGGAUGUGAAAUCCCCGGGCUCAACCUGGGAACUGCAUCCAAAACUACUGAGCUAGAGUACGGUAGAGGGUGGUGGAAUUUCCUGUGUAGCGGUGAAAUGCGUAGAUAUAGGAAGGAACACCAGUGGCGAAGGCGACCACCUGGACUGAUACUGACACUGAGGUGCGAAAGGNNGGGGGAGCAAACAGGAUUAGAUACCCUGGUAGUCCACGCCCGUAAACGAUGUCGACUAGCCGUUGGGAUCCUUGAGAUCUUAGUGGCGCAGCUAACGCGAUAAGUCGACCGCCUGGGGAGUACGGCCGCAAGGUUA
rnacentral:rRNA from 1 species